GUCCACGCCCUAAACGAUGAGAACUGGACGUUGGGAGGAAUUCGCCUCUUAGUGUCGAAGCUAACGCGUGAAGUUCUCCGCCUGGGGAGUACGCUCGCAAGAGUGAAACUCAAAGGAAUUGACGGGGCCCGCACAAGCGGUGGAGUAUGUGGUUUAAUUCGAUGCAACGCGCAGAACCUUACCUGGCCUUGACAUCUUGGGAACCCUGGAGAGAUUCGGGGGUGCCGCAAGGAGCCCAAAGACAGGUGCUGCAUGGCUGUCGU
rnacentral:rRNA from 1 species